rnacentral:lncRNA from 1 species
CUCAUCUGAAACCAGAGUUUAAGGACUUGUCCAAGGUCACACAGAGUACAUUAUUCUGAGAAGAGUUACAAUGGUUCACCAGACUACCAAAGGGACCCAUGACACAAAAAAGUGUGCAAAGAGGCCCAGCUGCAGAUCAAAUCUUAUUCUUAAGAACCCUCCUCUUGGUUGGUCCCCCCACCUCCAACCUUAUAAGACAUUUACCCUUGAAAAAUGAUUCCAGGAAAGAAGAUGCAUAAUGGAGACCUGGAAACUGCAUAUAUAAUCUCUUUUUCUGUUCUACAGUGUAUAAUGCAAAUGCCCAUUCUAUUUAGUGUUUGUUAAAUUCAGAAUAAAGUUUUUUUUUUUUUUUAAAGAAAAGAAAAU